UAAAACCUUUAUAAAUUGGCGGCAUUUCAUCUUAUUAGAGGAACCUGUUUUUUAAUCGAUAACCCACGUUAUAUUUUACUUUAAUUAAAAAUUUAUAUACCGCCAUUACAAGAAUUAAUUUUAAAAAUAUUACUCUUAAUAUAACUUUAAAAAAUAGGUCAAGGUGUAAUUUAUAUUAAAGAUAAAAUGGGUUACUUUAAAAAUAUUUAAAGAUUAUUUUAUUAAAAAUUAAAUAUAAAAAAGGAUUUAAAAGUAAUAUUUAACUUAUUAUAAAUUAAA
rnacentral:rRNA from 1 species